ensembl:lncRNA
GGUAUAUUUGUAGCAACAGACAACAUUGUAUGGGUCAAAAUUAUCGAUUUUUUUUUUAUGUCAAAAAUCAUUAGGAUAUUAAGUAAAGAUCAUGUUCCAUGAAGAUAUUUUGUAAAUUUCCUACCGUAAAUAUAUCAAAACUUAAUUUUUGAUUAGUCUGAUGGCAGAUUGAGUAUUCUGAUGACGACUUUCAUACCUUUUCUGGACCUUGACACUGUUAUUUAUUUGGCAGUCUAUGGGACAGUCACAGGCCUCCCGGUUUUCAUCCAAAUUAUCUAAAAUUGUGUUCUGAAGACAAACAAAGCUUUUAUGGGUUUGGAACGACAUGGGGGUAAGUGAUUAAUGACAAAAUUUUCAUUUUGGGGUGGAGUAUCCCUUCAACCCCACCCCAGACCUCACUAAUUUUCAAACGCUGGCUACGGCCAUGAAUAUGACAACCGAAGGAGGAUUUACUAAAAGAAGACUGUAGCGCCUUGAACACGCGCACACCUUAAUCUACCACACACCACCAAAUAGACGCGCAGAGAACUUGAAGCGCAGAUAGUGUGACUGCAGUGAGGAGAAGUUGAAGAAGACGGUUUUAGGAUUUGAAAACAUUCACAAACCAGUUCCGUGAAUCUAACCCAUCACUUAAACUUACUAGACAUUAAGCUAUGGAGGAAUGUGAGCUGAGCAACAGUCCUAGACAUGAAGAACAGGUCAAACUGAAGAAAGAUAAGAAUAAUGUGGAGCAAACACGUACGGAUCUGGGUCCUUGUGUAUGCGGUUAUGACUGCUGUGUUUGUUUCCAAACCUGUGAUUGUCCUGGAUGUGAUUUUUCUGGAUGUGAUUGUCCUGGAUGUGAUUUUUCUGGAUGUGAUUUUUCUGUAUUCUGUGAUUGUUUUCCAUCCUGCUGUGUGGGAUCCAUUUGGGAAUGUUUUUGUCAGGCAAGUAACAAUUAGUUACACUUUAACAUUAACUAAAAAAAACUUUUAAAAAAAAGAUUCCCUAACAAAGGGCUGUUUUCUGAAUUGCUCUCACGAUUGAAAAACUUUAAUCAUCCAUGUUUAUUACUAUAAAAUCGCAAUGUGUCAAACAUGCUUUCAUUUGGAUUAAGUCACAAGAGAUGUGACUAAUAUACAGAUAUUAUAAUGUUAAUAAUGCAUCUUUCAGAUCCUUUUGGAUCCAGGGACUUGGAUGGAUUUCAAGGGACGCCACAGAAGUCAGAAGAAACGAUACGAAGCCAACAAACAAACAUUGGGAAACCUUCAUGAAAUAUCAUAAUGGAAUGAUUAUUAAACUUCACAAAGAUGUUGUUGUUAUCUGUACAUUUACAAAAAUACAACUGUAAAAUACACUAAAACAACUCCAACAAAAGUUGAACUUUUUCUGCAGUAAUGUCUGAUUGUAGCUUUAAAUACAAACUGCUCGAGAGUGAAGAGAAACUAAAAUGCACCAGCAUAAAAACAAGUCUCUCAAGAUUGUUGAGCCACAGAGUUUGAUGAUGUGGUUUGAAAAAUGUCAUCCGUUUUGGUUUCGUUUGGAGAAUGUUUAAUCUAAACCAGAUUUCGUUUGGUUUGAGGCAGAAGGAGAAUAGUUAAGUUAAGAUAAUAAAUUAAGCUGAGGUUGUGAAGGUUUGGUCA